rnacentral:rRNA from 1 species
CCCGGCGGCGAUAGCGCGGUGGUCCCACCUGACCCCAUGCCGAACUCAGAAGUGAAACGCCGUAGCGCCGAUGGUAGUGUGGGGUCUCCCCAUGUGAGAGUAGGGAACUGCCAGGC